UUCAACAACGGAUCUCUUGGCUCUCGCAUCGAUGAAGAACGCAGCGAAAUGCGAUAAGUAAUGUGAAUUGCAGAAUUCAGUGAAUCAUCGAAUCUUUGAACGCACCUUGCGCUCCUUGGUAUUCCGAGGAGCAUGCCUGUUUGAGUGUCAUGAAAUUCU
rnacentral:rRNA from 1 species